rnacentral:rRNA from 1 species
GGCGGCGUGCUUAACACAUGCAAGUCGAACGAUGAAGCCCUUCGGGGUGGAUUAGUGGCGAACGGGUGAGUAACACGUGGGCAAUCUGCCCUUCACUCUGGGACAAGCCCUGGAAACGGGGUCUAAUACCGGAUAUGACCGUCUUGGGCAUCCUUGACCGGUGUAAAGCUCCGGCGGUGAAGGAUGAGCCCGCGGCCUAUCAGCUUGUUGGUGAGGUAAUGGCUCACCAAGGCGACGACGGGUAGCCGGCCUGAGAGGGCGACCGGCCACACUGGGACUGAGACACGGCCCAGACUCCUACGGGAGGCAGCAGUGGGGAAUAUUGCACAAUGGGCGAAAGCCUGAUGCAGCGACGCCGCGUGAGGGAUGACGGCCUUCGGGUUGUAAACCUCUUUCAGCAGGGAAGAAGCGCAAGUGACGGUACCUGCAGAAGAAGCGCCGGCUAACUACGUGCCAGCAGCCGCGGUAAUACGUAGGGCGCAAGCGUUGUCCGGAAUUAUUGGGCGUAAAGAGCUCGUAGGCGGCUUGUCACGUCGGGUGUGAAAGCCCGGGGCUUAACCCCGGGUCUGCAUUCGAUACGGGCUAGCUAGAGUGUGGUAGGGGAGAUCGGAAUUCCUGGUGUAGCGGUGAAAUGCGCAGAUAUCAGGAGGAACACCGGUGGCGAAGGCGGAUCUCUGGGCCAUUACUGACGCUGAGGAGCGAAAGCGUGGGGAGCGAACAGGAUUAGAUACCCUGGUAGUCCACGCCGUAAACGGUGGGAACUAGGUGUUGGCGACAUUCCACGUCGUCGGUGCCGCAGCUAACGCAUUAAGUUCCCCGCCUGGGGAGUACGGCCGC